UAUCAAAAACCUCUAUCGAUCAUUCAGCGAAUAUUUCUAAAAAUGUAUGCCUGUUCUUUUUUGAAUAAUGGGCUAGCAUGCCCAAAUACAUCUUUCACACAUUUGUAGCCUACUAUGUGUGAGAUAGGUUAAGUGAAAAAUAACCUCAAGGGAUUACGAAAAAUAGUAUUUUAUUGUCAAAAAAUAAAAAUAAAUGAACAAUUUGUUCGUCAUCGAUAAUGACCAGCGUUUCAACAAAAGUUCCAUGAAAUUGAUAACGCUGCCUUUGCUAGAGCCUGUAGAUAAUGACUAUACCAAGCGAUGCUUAACCAGUUUUUUGAUCAAAACAAAAAUACGAUUUUUUGAUAAAAAAAAUAAAAUAAUAAAAUAUUGAAAUGCUUUCUGGCGCUGUAAAAACAAUGCUUAGACAAAGUGCUCUUAUAAGUAACACAGCUCUGAGCUGGAGGAAUCUCUUCUACAGUAAGCUUCUUCUCCCAGAGGUUGGUAAAAACAGUCUGAGGUGCUGUAGUGAGGAGACGUGUAGUCUGCGGCCAUGGUGCCGUCCUGCAGAUUGGGCCAGUGAGACAGGCAAAAACAGUGCUGCAGGGUGCAAUACUGGUAGUGGUAACUUUCUGACGUAAAGCUGGAGCUCAUGUCCAUGCGUGUUGGAGAGUUGUAGCAUGACGAGGAAGAGGAAUGAGACUCGGGCGGAGUGUAGCUGUUAUAAUCGACCAGACUGGGAAGACUGAACGAGUGUGUUGGUGAACUAGAAGCCUGGAAGAAAAGGAAGUGUUACAACGUUAGACGUUAUCUAAACACACAGCAAAAAUCCCCUAAUCCUUAAUGAACACCUUCAGUGCUGGGCUAACAUCCAGAGUGUUAAAAUAAAAUAACACCUACAAUGUUUAAUUGUGUUAACAGUGCUGCAAUAACGAUUAUACUACUGAAUUAUCACCUGCUACAUGGAAUUAGCUAAUUAUUACAUUAUUUUAAUUAGUACACAUGGUGCUGACUAAACAUCUUUAGUAUUGAAUUAACCCUUACAAUGUUGAAUUAACUCCUACAAAAUGUAAUUCAUUUGUAAAGUCCAUGGAUUGACAUUUUAACAAAAUUUUGGAAAGUUGAAUAAGUGUCUACACUAUUCAGUUAUGCUAAUAGUGCUGAAUUAACUCUUCAUGAUGUAUGUACAACUACAAUGUUUAAUUAUCCAAGACAGUCCCAAGCAGAGUGCUGAAUUAAUUCUUACAGUAUUAAUUUUACCUUUAGAGUAUCCAAUGUGUCCAGCUGGACUUAUUUAACUGUAUAGACUAUGUUCAUUGAACACUGAGCUUUUUGGUAGUGAAAAAUCUAAUAUUCUCCAGUCAAGCAAUUUACCUGUAGUUUUUUUGUUGGAGUGUUCCACUUUUAUGUGGAUUUCUGUUCGUAUAUCCUGGUUUAAAAAUAGCAUUAAAAAACUUGAUAAUCAAUUGGAUUGUCAAGUGUAAACCCCUAUAAUUAUAUCUUUUGGAUUGUAUUGAAUUUUAUUCAUACUGUAGAAUACACAUUUUUUUAAAUGCCAAUUCAUGCUGCCUUUAAAAAAAAGUCAAACCGAGGAAGGAGAAAAUUAAACGAAACAUGGUUUUGGUUAGCAGGUGUAAAAGUAAUAAUACAUACUAAGCUGUUAGUGUAAUAUUCCGUGCAUGAAGGGAAGUAUACGUGCGGCCACUGUGCAGGAGCACUCGCACACACCGCAGCGCUGGAGCUGUAGUUCUCUGCAGGGAUCAUGUUCAUCAGCAGCUGAUCAUCAAACAUGUCCUCCAUAGCCAUAUGCACGCUUUCUGCAAACUGUCGAGGUUGAAAAUAAUCAUCCUGCGCCGAGCUCCCGCAGAGAAUAUCGAGCUGGCCUGCUGGAAAAGAUGGAGAGAAAAGUACUAUAUAAGCACAGUGGGGUAUUUAAAUUGGGCAUGUAAAGUCUUGAGAUGAUGUCACGAGUGGAACAGCCAACAGCUAAAUCACAUUUGAAUAGAAGUUUAUAAAAGGAGUCCUUACACAUUUUAAGGAAUCUUGUAUAGCGUAUCGUGUCUUUUUUUUCCCAACUGUUCUGCAUGACGAUCCAAUGGUUUCAUUUUGGAGUUAUGGUGCAGAGUUGGUAUGCAGACAGGGAAAAGGGAAAAGCACCGCACCCACCCCCGGCAACACAGCUAAAUCCCGCAUGUAAUACGGAGUGUGAGGGAAAUCUCCAGCGGCGUGUGUAUAAUCUCAUCAAAACACUCCGGUCCCAAAGGAUAAAGAAUAAAAUGAGAAGAAAGAAGAACAUUCACUCACCAGACAUUAUUGGCGUGAAGAGGAGCAGGACCCAGUGAAACACCCCAAGCGCCUGUUCUUGGCUCUAUUAUAUGGGCAAGAACGAAAUAUUGAUAAAAUUGUCACAAAGUCUCAAUCAAUCACCCUCACGACACUCUCACUAUAUACAAUUAUGCAGUAAUAUGGCCAGGGAAGCAUUAGUUUGAGUUUUUCUGCCCUCAUCCCUACUAUUUAAAGUCCCAAGAACUCAAUGAUUUGACAAUGAUUUGAUUGCGCGAUACUUUCAAUUUGAAUAUUCAAAGACUUCGCAAAAAUACUUAUAUCUUAGCUAUUUUCGCCAUCAGAGCGCAUGUAAGAGCACCCCCUUUAAUAGAAUAUUACACCAUUUCACACUUUGACACAAAAACAAAAAUAUAUUUUUGACAUUUUAUCACCCUUUUGAUAUUGAUGCCAAGAGGCUGGCUGUGGAGCUCUCUUUGCACUUUACAAUAUGAAAGAGUGAGCAAAUGUCAUUUCAAACAACACACAACAACCUCAAUAUAUAUCAUACAGUUCAUAACCAUAUAAAUAAAUAAGAAAUAAUAUGUUCUGUAGCUUGAUUGUAAACCAUUUUUCCAGAAAUGUAGGAAUGGUGGGCGUGGCAUAUAGUGGCAGCCAUUUUGACCAUCAGAGCAUGGGGAGCUUGUGCUCUCUGACACAUUUAACACAAGUUAACAGUUCUCUAAUGAACAUUGAAUUAAUAUUAUUUUGUAUCAUAUGUAACCUGAAUUUUUAUAUUAAUCAUAUGUAAUCUGCAAUGCUUUAUCGAAGAGUUGCCCUCAAAGUAGGAUAUUUCUUGUAAUUAUCUCAAAUAUUUUAAAAUCACAAUCAAAUGAUGCUGUUGCAAUAUUGACAAUAUUAUAUGACCAAAAAAAAAUACAUUAUUUAUAUUUUACAUACUAGGAAGGAUUUUGUAAAUUAAAGGAAGAGGGCAUUAAUACAAUUAAAUGUGCUCGUAGUUCGUCCUAUUUUAUUAAAAUACUUCUUUGUGUUUUUUUGUUUGUUUGUUUGGUUGUUUUUUUUUUUUUUGCUGAUGAACGUAUAUUAGAGUGUGAUGCUUAUCAUAAGAACCCUAAUAUAUAAUAUUAAUAAUAUCCCAUUAAUGAGCUAUUAAUAAAGGAUUUAUUUCAAUAUAGGACCAAAUUUAACAAACUUCUGCAUCAAACUUAAAUGUCUACAUAGUUUGUUUUUUUGUUUGUUUUUUUAAAAAAAUAUUUAACAUAUUUUCAUUUAAUAUAUGUAUGUAUUUUUCGUUUUAUUGAGAUUUUGGAUUGAUAUUUUGUCAUUAUUUAUAGGUAGUGCCUGCUUGCAGUUUUGUAGCGGGGUUUAUCUUAAGGCAUUGUAAGAGACGCGGAUAUUUGCGCAUCACAUAUCCAGUUUAUACAUAAGCUAUAUUUUGUUAUUAUGAUCCACACAUAUAUAUGUAUAUACCCUUCUGUGUGUGUGUGUGUGUGUGCUUUUUUUUCUUGUGGCAUUUCUCAGUAAGCUUGUGUUUAAAAGAUGUCAAACAUUUUUGGCGUCGAUUGGUCACUUAUGCUUACAUAAAUUAUUUAAGAGUGAAAUUGAGCAUAGAUAAAUAUCAUAACAAUAAUAUUC
ensembl:lncRNA